rnacentral:rRNA from 1 species
ACCUCAAAUCAGGUAGGGAUACCCGCUGAACUUAAGCAUAUCAAUAAGCGGAGGAAAAGAAAAUAACAAUGAUUCCCCUAGUAACUGCGAGUGAAGAGGGACAAGCUCAAAUUUUAAAUCUGUUAGGUUUACCUGACCGAGUUGUAAUUUGAAGAGGCGUUUUCCGCGCGUUUUGGUCAGCCCAAGUUCCUUGGAAUGGGACAUCACAGAGGGUGAGAAUCCCGUCCGGUUGAUCAAUUGCGUAUGUGAUACGUUUUCAAAGAGUCAAGUUGUUUGGGAUUGCAGCUUAAAAUGGGAGGUAAAUUUCUCCUAAGGCUAAAUACCGGCGAGAGACCGAUAGCGAACAAGUACCGUGAGGGAAAGAUGAAAAGCAUUUUGAAAAGAAAGUCAAAUAGCACGUGAAAUUGUUGAAAGGGAAACGAUUGAAGUCAGUCGUACCGAUGAGUAUUCAGCCUCUCGGGUGUGAUUAUGUUGGAAGUGGGAAGAUCCUGCUCUGUCAUAUUCGUGCUUCUGAGGUGUACUUGCUCGUAUGGUAGGUUAACAUCAAUUUUGAUCGUCAUAAAAUGACGGGGGGAAUAUGGCUUCAUUUUUUGAAGUGUUAUAGCCUCUGGUAGAUGUGAUGAUCGGGAUUGAGGAUUGCAACGAAUACCCUUUGGGCCACUCGUCUGAUCUCUGAUCGUCGCUUUGGUGCCGAAAGCAUGCUUAUGGUAUUGAAGUAGGUGGUCAAAAGGUUAGAACGGGUUAAAUUCGUUAAGGAUGUUGACGUAAUGACUUUAAACGACCCGUCUUGAAACACGGACCAAGGAGUCUAACAUAUGUGCGAGUGUUU